AGCCCAUGCAAAAAUGACCCAGUCUAAAGGAAUAGAAUUCACAGGGCAGUGUGUUACAUCCUCCAGGAGAGGUCACAGAGGUCAAGAACACCCAGUCAGGUAGAGGUAUCCUCCAGGAGAGGUCACAGAGGUCAGGAACAGCCAGUCAGGUAGAGGUAUCCUCCAGGAGAGGUCACAGAGGUCAGGAACAGCCAGUCAGGUAGAGGUAUCCUCCAGGAG